GAUGAACGCUAGCUACAGGCUUAACACAUGCAAGUCGAGGGGAAACGGCCAUUGAGUGCUUGCACUCUUUGGACGUCGACCGGCGCACGGGUGAGUAACGCGUAUCCAACCUUCCCAUUACUGUGGGAUAACCUGCCGAAAGGCAGACUAAUACCGCAUAGUCUUCGAUGACGGCAUCAGAUUUGAAGUAAAGAUUUAUCGGUAAUGGAUGGGGAUGCGUCUGAUUAGCUUGUUGGCGGGGUAACGGCCCACCAAGGCUACGAUCAGUAGGGGUUCUGAGAGGAAGGUCCCCCACAUUGGAACUGAGACACGGUCCAAACUCCUACGGGAGGCAGCAGUGAGGAAUAUUGGUCAAUGGACGGAAGUCUGAACCAGCCAAGUAGCGUGCAGGAUGACGGCCCUAUGGGUUGUAAACUGCUUUUGUAUGGGGAUAAAGUUAGGGACGUGUCCCUAUUUGCAGGUACCAUACGAAUAAGGACCGGCUAAUUCCGUGCCAGCAGCCGCGGUAAUACGGAAGGUCCAGGCGUUAUCCGGAUUUAUUGGGUUUAAAGGGAGCGUAGGCUGGAGAUUAAGUGUGUUGUGAAAUGUAGACGCUCAACGUCUGAAUUGCAGCGCAUACUGGUUUCCUUGAGUACGCACAACGUUGGCGGAAUUCGUCGUGUAGCGGUGAAAUGCUUAGAUAUGACGAAGAACUCCGAUUGCGAAGGCAGCUGACGGGAGCGCAACUGACGCUUAAGCUCGAAGGUGCGGGUAUCAAACAGG
rnacentral:rRNA from 1 species